AUUGAACGCUGGCGGAAUGCUUUACACAUGCAAGUCGAACGGUAGAGGGGGCAACCCCCUUGAGAGUGGCGAACGGGUGAGUAAUAUAUCGGAACGUGCCCAGUCGUGGGGAUAACGUAGCGAAAGUUACGCUAAUACCGCAUACGAUCUAAGGAUGAAAGCGGGGGAUCGCAAGACCUCGCGCGAUUGGAGCGGCCGAUAUCAGAUUAGGUAGUUGGUGAGGUAAAGGCUCACCAAGCCAACGAUCUGUAGCUGGUCUGAGAGGACGACCAGCCACACUGGAACUGAGACACGGUCCAGACUCCUACGGGAGGCAGCAGUGGGGAAUAUUGGACAAUGGGCGAAAGCCUGAUCCAGCAAUGCCGCGUGAGUGAUGAAGGCCUUAGGUUGUAAAGCUCUUUACCCGGGAUGAUAAUGACAGUACCGGGAGAAUAAGCUCCGGCUAACUCCGUGCCAGCAGCGCG
rnacentral:rRNA from 1 species